GUACGUUUAAUGUCUCUUUUAUGUCACCAACUCCAUUGCCUGUGUGGUGUAGAUUAUAGCCCUGGAUCCAGAUAGAGAAGCUUAUGAGAUAGGACUACCAUUCAUUAAGAAGGCUGGUGUAGAGCACAAGAUCGACUUCAUUCAGUCCCCAGCUCUACCUGUUCUUGAUAAACUAUUAGAAGACGAUUCGAAUAAGGAUAGUUUUGACUUUGCCUUCGUUGAUGCUGAUAAAGAUAACUACUGGAAUUACCACGAGCGGCUUCUUAAACUGGUGAAGAUUGGUGGGUUAAUAAUCUAUGAUAAUACCCUCUGGGGUGGAACUGUUGCCUGGCCUGAAGAGGAUGUUCCAAUACCCAAAAGAAAAUACCGGCAGGCUGUUGUAGCUUUCAACAAAGCAAUUGCAGAUGAUUCUCGUGUUGAAAUUUCUGUUGUUUCAAUUGGUGAUGGCUUCACUAUUUGCUGGCGUGCUCAAUGAACACCGUUUCUGAAUGUUUCGUGCUCAAUGAACACUAUUUCCGAAUGUUCCGUGCUCAAUAAACACCAUUUCUGAAUGUUUUGUGCUAUGAUCCAAGUUAACUUGAUGUCCUAUGUUUUUGGUUUUUCAUUCUGCUUUUUCUGUGGGUGGUUAAAAUUGAUUUACCUCAAACUGUGGGUCUUAUGGUUUGACUGUAAUGCGA
rnacentral:sRNA from 1 species